rnacentral:rRNA from 1 species
GAUGAACGCUGGCGGCGUGCCUAAUACAUGCAAGUCGAGCGAACGGACGAGAAGCUUGGUUCUCUGAUGUUAGCGGCGGACGGGUGAGUAACACGUGGAUAACCUACCUAUAAGACUGGGAUAACUUCGGGAAACCGGAGCUAAUACCGGAUAAUAUUUUGAACCGCAUGGUUCAAAAGUGAAAGACGGUCUUGCUGUCACUUAUAGAUGGAUCCGCGCUGCAUUAGCUAGUUGGUAAGGUAACGGCUUACCAAGGCAACGAUGCAUAGCCGACCUGAGAGGGUGAUCGGCCACACUGGAACUGAGACACGGUCCAGACUCCUACGGGAGGCAGCAGUAGGGAAUCUUCCGCAAUGGGCGAAAGCCUGACGGAGCAACGCCGCGUGAGUGAUGAAGGUCUUCGGAUCGUAAAACUCUGUUAUUAGGGAAGAACAUAUGUGUAAGUAACUGUGCACAUCUUGACGGUACCUAAUCAGAAAGCCACGGCUAACUACGUG